AGGCAGCUGGCGAGGCUAUAACUGACGCUAAAGCUCGAAGGUGCGGGUAUCGAACAGGAUUAGAUACCCCUGGUAGUCCGCACGGUAAACGAUGGAUGCCCGCUGUAUGCGAUAUACUGUAUGCGGCCAAGCGAAAGCGUUAAGCAUCCCACCUGGGGAGUACGCCGGCAACGGUGAAACUCAAAGGAAUUGACGGGGGCCCGCACAAGCGGAGGAACAUGUGGUUUAAUUCGAUGAUACGCGAGGAACCUUACCCGGGCUUGAACUGCAGGAGAAGGAUACAGAGAUGUUGACGCCCUUCGGGGCUCCUGUGGAGGUGCUGCAUGGUUGUCGUCAGCUCGUGCCGUGAGGUGUCGGCUUAAGUGCCAUAACGAGCGCAACCCCUGCGACUAGUUGCCAUCAGGUUAAGCUGGGCACUCUGGUUGGACUGCCACCGUAAGGUGUGAGGAAGGUGGGGAUGACGUCAAAUCAGCACGGCCUGACGGGCGGUGUGUACACACCCGGUACAAGGGGUGGUACAGAGAGUUGGAUUAACCCAAGUUGGUUCUAUCCUAAAAGCCAUCCUCAGACCGAAUGGCUCCCGAACCACGACACGAAGCGG
rnacentral:rRNA from 1 species